AAGUCGAGCGAUGAAACCCUUCGGGGUGGAUUAGCGGCUUUACCGGUGAGUAACACGUGGGUAUCCUGCCUCAAAGAGGGGGAUAGCCUCCCGAAAGGGAGAUUAAUACCGCAUAACAUUAGUUUUUCGCAUGAGAAACUAAUUAAAGGAGUAAUCCGCUUUGAGAUGGACCCGCGGCGCAUUAGCUAGUUGGUGAGGUAACGGCUCACCAAGGCGACGAUGCGUAGCCGACCUGAGAGGGUGAUCUGCCACAUUGGAACUGAGACACGGUCCUUACUCCUACGGGAGGCAGCGGGGGG
rnacentral:misc_RNA from 1 species